CCUACGGGGGGCAGCAGUGGGGAAUAUUGCACAAUGGGCGCAAGCCUGAUGCAGCGACGCCGCGUGAGGGAUGACGGCCUUCGGGUUGUAAACCUCUGUUAGCAGGGAAGAAGAGAGAUUGACGGUACCUGCAGAGAAAGCGCCGGCUAACUACGUGCCAGCAGCCGCGGUAAUACGUAGGGCGCGAGCGUUGUCCGGAAUUAUUGGGCGUAAAGAGCUUGUAGGCGGUUUGUCGCGUCUGCUGUGAAAGGCCGGAGCUUAACUCCGUGUAUUGCAGUGGGUACGGGCAGACUAGAGUGCAGUAGGGGAGACUGGAAUUCCUGGUGUAGCGGUGGAAUGCGCAGAUAUCAGGAGGAACACCGAUGGCGAAGGCAGGUCUCUGGGCUGUAACUGACGCUGAGAAGCGAAAGCAUGGGGAGCGAACAGGAUUAGAUACCCUUGUAGUC
rnacentral:rRNA from 1 species